CACACCUUCCCAGGAGUA
rnacentral:tRNA from 1 species